rnacentral:lncRNA from 1 species
CUGACAUUCUGUCCCCAGCUUAUUCUGCAGCCAGACUGGACACCUUUGACGUGACAAGGCCAGGGGGUCUGUCCCUACCAGGCCCUUGUUUUAAGGAGCCUGUGCAGCUCUGCUUAGGUUUAGGUUUCACAGCACCAGGGGGAAAAGAAAACAGUGUGAAGAAGAAAGAAAAGUGGUUUGUGGGAAGAAGGAAGCCAGACAGAAAUGAAAGUGGUGAUGUUCACGUCUGUCCCUGCAGGCAGCUGUGUGACACAUGGGGGUGGGGUGACAUGAGCAGGUGCCUCUGCCCAAAUCACAUCAGAACUGGAGUUCCGUGACCUGCAGUGUCCCCACCUCCCUGCUCCCACACCUGUCCUCACCUGUCUGCACUCACAGCCUCCCACCUCAGCAGAGCAUUCUCUCUGUCCCAAGAGAGACAGAAGAUCGUAUUGUGAAGGGGAAAUUCAAAUAUGUGACUGUGCGUGACAUGGAGUCAUGGGCCAGCAGAGCUAGCAAUCACCCUGAGUGAGUUUUGCCUUUUCCCUGGAUUCUGGCAGGACAAUCCAAGUAUUCCAUGAAUCAUUUAUUACUGAAAACGUCUUCCUGAGUGCCUCUAUGAGACAGGUGAGGUUGUGCGUAGCCCCCUGAGGAGCAGCAGAUGAAAUAAAAAUCAAACAAAUGAUGGAUUCUACCAAAGCACAUCUGGUCGGGGGAUGGCAGCAUUCAUACCAGAGAUGUAUCCUGUGCCAGCCUUGAGUACUGAAUCCAUUCCACUCCACAGCCAACUUACCAACCCUGUGCGGAACACCUUGCUGUGAUGUGAGGUGAGUGACCAGUGGUACUUUAACGGGGUGGCUAAGGAAGACCUCUCUGAGGAUGUGCCUAACUGUGACUAUAAGCAAUUGUUGGGAGGUUGAGCCAUGUGAGGACAAGGUGACCAAGUGCUGCAGGUAGAAAACUGGCCAGUACAAAGAUCCUGAGGUAGGGACCAUCUUGGCAUAUUGGGAAAGAGUAAAAACAAACAAACAAACAAAC